UUCUCGUGAUCAGUCUGAGUGUUGAAGAUGUCGGCGGAGGAAAAGCAGUUUUCUUUGGAAGUGUUAACGUUGAAUUGUUGGGGUGUUCCUGUGCCAUUUGCAUGCAAAUAUAGGAAAGAGCGAUUCCUAUCUAUUGCUGAAGAGAUUUCCAAGAGGAAUUUUGACAUUGUUAUCUUGCAAGAGGUAUGGGCUGAAAGUGACUAUAAACUUCUGCAGCAACACAUACUGAAGACGAUGCCAUAUUGUCAUUACUUUCAAAGUGGGACCAUAGGGAGCGGUGUCUGUGUUUUCUCCAAGCUUGCUAUAGAGGACUCAUUCUACCACCUGUUUCCAUUGAACGGCUACUUCCACAAGGUUCAGCAUGGGGACUGGUUUGGAGGGAAGGGCCUGGGUAUGUGUAGAGUCUCCAUCCAGGGAAUCAGCAUCAACAUAUACUGUACCCAUCUGCAUGCUGAAUAUGAUAUGGAAUCGGAUGAAUACAUUGCCCAUCGUGUGGCGCAAGCAUUUGACAUGAGCCAGUUCAUCAAGUAUACAUCAGGGUCAUGUGACUUGGCCAUUGUUGGGGGUGACUUUAACCUUCGACCCACUGACCUAGGAUACAAGAUGAUUGUCACCAAUGGCAACUUACAUGACUGUUGGCUCGCAAAAGUCAAAUUUUGCGAGUAAGCUAUAAAAUUGAGACCGAAAGUGAGGUAGGGCCAAAUAUGAGGCAAGACCAGGCCAAUCAGUCCAGAAUGAGGAGAAUGAAUCAGGACACACUAAUGAGAGGAAAGACAACAGUUUCAGCACGCACAAUGUCCAGCGGUUAGAACCCGUGGGGCGAAGGCUGGAUUACCUCCUAUACAAGGCCAAUGAAGGUGUGGAUGUAGAGGUGGGCAGUUGUAAGCUGGACUUUGGUAAAAUCCCGGACAAGCCCUACAACUACUCGGAUCAUGAAGGAGUGGCUGCUCGCCUGCUUGUACAAAGGAAGAAAGAUUCGGAAAAAUCUCCAGAUUCCACUGACGAGAAUAAGCUAUACGAUCUACUACUGGAGUCCAAGACGAUCGUACAGAAGGGCCUGACCAAGGCGAGGUCUGACAACCUGUUUUACACGAUUCUGUGCAUUGUCUGCACCAUCGCUCUCUACGGGUUCUGGUGCACCGAGAUGGAGAGAGAGACCAGUCAUCUGGUGGUCGUCGGGAGGGCCGUCAUUUUUGUGACCUUGACCUUAUUAGUGGCCUUCCUCCUGUUUUACAAGUUGAUUAUCAAUAAGAUCGAAUUCAAGGGACUGACAGGUGCUGAGGAGGAUAUAAGUAAUUUAUGUUCAAGUGUCAAAAAGAGAAUCAAACACAAUUAACCACUGAUGUCGAACAUUCCAAUCUUUACAAAGGCAUAAAACAAUUGUAUUUUUUUAAACUAUUGAAAUGACUUGUUUCACAACUAAAGUCAUAGGUGUUGUAAAUCUGGGUCUAAGUUUCUUCUAUUUCUUAUCAUAUUUAUUCUUUAUUGUUUUGAAGGAACUUUCUACAUUCCUCCUGUGAUAAUUUUAUCAUAACUACUCAGUAUCUUCUAUUCAUCAUUUGAAUGUUGAGAAUAAAGUUUUUGAAAUCCUUUGAUUACAGUAGCAUAUAUUUUGCAUAGUCAAGUGUUGCUUUUGCAGAUUCUCAAUGACCAAUGAUGUUCAAUACCGGGUAAAUGAUUACAUGUAUA
rnacentral:misc_RNA from 1 species